UACGUAGGGUGCGAGCGUUAAUCGGAAUUACUGGGCGUAAAGCGUGCGCAGGCGGUUUUGUAAGCCAGAUGUGAAAGCCCCGGGCUUAACCUGGGAAUGGCAUUUGGGACUGUAAGGCUGGAGUGCGGCAGAGGAGACUGGAAUUCCCGGUGUAGCAGUGAAAUGCGUAGAUAUCGGGAGGAAUACCGAUGGCGAAGGCAGGUCUCUGGGCUGACACUGACGCUCAUGCACGAAAGCGUGGGGAGCAAACAGG
rnacentral:rRNA from 1 species